AUGCAGUCGAGCGGUAGAGAGGUGCUUGCACCUCUUGAGAGCGGCGGACGGGUGAGUAAUGCCUAGGAAUCUGCCUGGUAGUGGGGGAUAACGUCCGGAAACGGACGCUAAUACCGCAUACGUCCUACGGGAGAAAGCAGGGGACCUUCGGGCCUUGCGCUAUCAGAUGAGCCUAGGUCGGAUUAGCUAGUUGGUGAGGUAAUGGCUCACCAAGGCGACGAUCCGUAACUGGUCUGAGAGGAUGAUCAGUCACACUGGAACUGAGACACGGUCCAGACUCCUACGGGAGGCAGCAGUGGGGAAUAUUGGACAAUGGGCGAAAGCCUGAUCCAGCCAUGCCGCGUGUGUGAAGAAGGUCUUCGGAUUGUAAAGCACUUUAAGUUGGGAGGAAGGGUACUUACCUAAUACGUGAGUAUUUUGACGUUACCGACAGAAUAAGCACCGGCUAACUCUGUGCCAGCAGCCGCGGUAAUACAGAGGGUGCAAGCGUUAAUCGGAAUUACUGGGCGUAAAGCGCGCGUAGGUGGUUUGUUAAGUUGGAUGUGAAAUCCCCGGGCUCAACCUGGGAACUGCAUCCAAAACUGGCAAGCUAGAGUAUGGUAGAGGGUGGUGGAAUUUCCUGUGUAGCGGUGAAAUGCGUAGAUAUAGGAAGGAACACCAGUGGCGAAAGCGACCACCUGGACUGAUACUGAC
rnacentral:rRNA from 1 species